GCUUGCCUCCCGCCGUUUUUGGCAAUGGUAGAACUCACACUGGUGAGGUAAUGGGAUCCGGUGGUUCUAGACUUGCCAACUAUGGUGCGAGG
ensembl:miRNA